rnacentral:rRNA from 1 species
GACGAACGCUGGCGGCGUGCUUAACACAUGCAAGUCGAACGGUGAUGCUCCAGCUUGCUGGAGUGGAUCAGUGGCGAACGGGUGAGUAACACGUGAGCAACCUGCCCCAGACUCUGGAAUAAGCGCUGGAAACGGCGUCUAAUACUGGAUACGAAACUGGCCCGCAUGGGCAUGGUUUGGAAAGUUUUUCGGUUUGGGAUGGGCUCGCGGCCUAUCAGCUUGUUGGUGAGGUAAUGGCUCACCAAGGCGACGACGGGUAGCCGGCCUGAGAGGGCGACCGGCCACACUGGGACUGAGACACGGCCCAGACUCCUACGGGAGGCAGCAGUGGGGAAUAUUGCACAAUGGGCGAAAGCCUGAUGCAGCGACGCCGCGUGAGGGAUGACGGCCUUCGGGUUGUAAACCUCUUUCAGCAGGGAAGAAGCGAAAGUGACGGUACCUGCAGAAGAAGCACCGGCUAACUACGUA